rnacentral:tRNA from 1 species
GGAGGGCUAGCGAAGUGGUUAAACGCGGCAGACUGUAAAUCUGCUCUCUUACGAGUUCGGUGGUUCGAACCCAUCGCCCUCCACCA